UUCGUCGUGGCGCAGAAGCGGGUGCGCCGACCCGCGGAGGCUGAGCCCGGUGCGCAGCAGGCGCGAGCGGGUCUGGAAGUCCGAGACGGCCCCAGGCCCACCGCGGGCUCACCGGUUCCUGCGCCCCGCGGUCCCACAGAUGACGUUCAUGUUCUCAAAGCGGAUGCUGCUCACGCCGCCGCUCUCCAUGGCCCCAGCAGCUGAACAAAGGGGAAUGCGGCUCCUGACAGCCAGGAGCUGGCCUGGCAUCCCAGUCGGGCCCCGCUGCUCUCUGGUUGACAGUUUCACAGACCACCACCGUCAGCCAAGGCCACUCUGUGACCCUGAUGAACCCGGAUAAAAUGAAGAGCACUCCAGGAUCGUAUCUCAACACAACAAGAUGUGAACGCUGCCCAAACAACAAAGAUGCCCCAACAACCCCCGCAUGGCUCAGAUGCUGCUGCUUUUCCAGUCAUCGUGCCAGCUCCAUUCAUUCCUCCUGCCUCAGCCUGGCCUCCACUUCCUGCCAGCAUCUGGUCCAGAGCAGAGCCCGCUUCCCCGAACCCUCCCAAAGUCCCCUCAGGCAGCUCCGCUCCUAUAGAGUCCUCUCUGGCACCCCCUUACUCAGAUGUGGCAUGUGUUACGGUCUCCGUCAUUACAAGUCAAUAAAUUCAAAUCUCUCUCUC